rnacentral:rRNA from 1 species
CUAAUACAUGCAAGUCGAACGAAGUUUCGAGGAAGCUUGCUUCCAAAGAGACUUAGUGGCGAACGGGUGAGUAACACGUAGGUAACCUGCCCAUGUGUCCGGGAUAACUGCUGGAAACGGUAGCUAAAACCGGAUAGGUAUACAGAGCGCAUGCUCAGUAUAUUAAAGCGCCCAUCAAGGCGUGAACAUGGAUGGACCUGCGGCGCAUUAGCUAGUUGGUGAGGUAACGGCUCACCAAGGCGAUGAUGCGUAGCCGGCCUGAGAGGGUAAACGGCCACAUUGGGACUGAGACACGGCCCAAACUCCUACGGGAGGCAGCAGUAGGGAAUUUUCGUCAAUGGGGGAAACCCUGAACGAGCAAUGCCGCGUGAGUGAAGAAGGUCUUCGGAUCGUAAAGCUCUGUUGUAAGUGAAGAACGGCUCAUAGAGGAAAUGCUAUGGGAGUGACGGUAGCUUACCAGAAAGCCACGGCUAACUACGUGCCAGCAGCCGCGGUAAUACGUAGGUGGCAAGCGUUAUCCGGAAUCAUUGGGCGUAAAGGGUGCGUAGGUGGCGUACUAAGUCUGUAGUAAAAGGCAAUGGCUCAACCAUUGUAAGCUAUGGAAACUGGUAUGCUGGAGUGCAGAAGAGGGCGAUGGAAUUCCAUGUGUAGCGGUAAAAUGCGUAGAUAUAUGGAGGACACCAGUGGCGAAGGCGGUCGCCUGGUCUGUAACUGACACU